GAUGAACGCUGGCUACAGGCUUAACACAUGCAAGUCGAGGGGAAACGACGGGGAAGCUUGCUUCCCCGGGCGUCGACCGGCGCACGGGUGAGUAACGCGUAUCCAACCUGCCUCUGACUGAGGGAUAACCCGUCGAAAGUCGGCCUAAUACCUCAUGGUAUCGUCUGCGGGCAUCCAACGACGAUUAAAGAUUUCAUCGGUCAGGGAUGGGGAUGCGUCUGAUUAGCUUGUUGGCGGGGUAACGGCCCACCAAGGCUACGAUCAGUAGGGGUUCUGAGAGGAAGGUCCCCCACAUUGGAACUGGGACACGGUCCAAACUCCUACGGGAGGCAGCAGUGCGGAAUAUUGGUCAAUGGGCGAGAGCCUGAACCAGCCAAGUAGCGUGCAGGAAGACGGCCCUAUGGGUUGUAAACUGCUUUUAUGCGGGGAUAAAGUGAGGGACGUGUCCCUCAUUGCAGGUACCGCAUGAAUAAGGACCGGCUAAUUCCGUG
rnacentral:rRNA from 1 species